UACGGGGGGGGCAAGCGUUGUUCGGAAUUACUGGGCGUAAAGGGCGCGUAGGCGGCCUGCUAAGUCGAACGUGAAAUCCCCGAGCUCAACUCGGGAACUGCGUCCGAUACUGGCAGGCUUGAAUCCGGGAGAGGGAUGCGGAAUUCCAGGUGUAGCGGUGAAAUGCGUAGAUAUCUGGAGGAACACCGGUGGCGAAGGCGGCGUCCUGGACCAACACUGACACUGAUGAGCGAAAGCCAGGGGAGCAAACGGG
rnacentral:rRNA from 1 species